rnacentral:lncRNA from 1 species
AAACCAACAAAGGGGCAUGCAGAGUGACCAAAUACCCUGGACUGGCCCUGAUGCCCUCAGUCUCCUAAGGAAACAAGUGCCAGAGGAGUAGAUGGAAGCAAAACAACCACCAGGAGCUUGCUGGUAGCACCUGCAGCCCGUGGAUGCCACGACACUCAUCUGUGUAGCGCUCCUGCCCUGUUUGCUGCCACAGAAAUAAAAACCUGCAGGAGAUAGCAAGGUGCUGCCCCACCAGCAUUCGCCUCACAGCCCCUGGCAGCAGCUGGCAGGGAUGGGAAGGGGGCUGCGGGAAGCACGUGGCUGUGGUGGGUGUCCCAACACCGCCUGUCCUUGACAGCCCUCUAGCAAUGGACAAAGAAGAGACAGAGGUGUUAAAUAGCAGCUAACGUGAGUACUCCAGGGGAAAAAAGCCUCAGUUUGGGUCAUAUCAAAUGGGAGCCAAUACAAAUUAAAUCAAUUUUAUAAUGAAAAGUACAACUAUUCAGGAAUUCUGCCUCUUUUUAUGUUCUUCAGCUGAAACUAUUCAC